rnacentral:misc_RNA from 1 species
GAUGAAGAACGUAGCGAAAUGCGAUAAGUAAUGUGAAUUGCAGAAUUCAGUGAAUCAUCGAAUCUUUGAACGCACAUUGCGCCCGUCAGUAUUCUGGCGGGCAUGCCUGUUCGAGCGUCAUUACGCCCCUCAAGUCCCCUGUGGACUUGGUGUUGGGGAUCGGCGAGGCUGGUUUUCCAGCACAGCCGUCCCUUAAAUUAAUUGGCGGUCUCGCCAUGGCCCUCCUCUGCGCAGUAGUAAAACACUCGCAACAGGAGCCCGGCGCGGUCCACUGCCGUAAAACCCCCCAACUUUUUAUAGUUGACCUCGAAUCAGGUAGGACUACCCGCUGAACUUAAGCAUAUCAAUAAGCGGAGGA